AGACAGAGGAUGCAAGCGUUAUCCGGAAUGAUUGGGCGUAAAGCGUCUGUAGGUGGCUUUUUAAGUUCGCUGUCAAAUACCAGGGCUCAACCCUGGACAGGUGGUGAAAACUACUAAGCUAGAGUACGGUAGGGGCAGAGGGAAUUUCCGGUGGAGCGAUGAAAUGCGUAGAGAUCGGAAGGAACACCAACGGCGAAAGCACUCUGCUGGGCCGACACUGACACUGAGAGACGAAAGCUAGGGGAGCGAAUGGGAUUAGAGACCCCAGUAGUCCUAGCCGUAAACGAUGGAUACUAAGUGGCUGUGCGUAUCGACCCGUGCAACGCUGUAGCUAACGCGUUAAGUAUCCCGCCUGGGGAGUACGUUCGCAAGAAUGAA
rnacentral:rRNA from 1 species